rnacentral:rRNA from 1 species
UGGGGAAUCUUAGACAAUGGGCGCAAGCCUGAUCUAGCCAUGCCGCGUGAGCGAUGAAGGCCUUAGGGUUGUAAAGCUCUUUCAGUGGGGAAGAUAAUGACUGUACCCACAGAAGAAGCCCCGGCUAACUCCGUGCCAGCAGCCGCGGUAAUACGGAGGGGGCUAGCGUUGUUCGGAAUUACUGGGCGUAAAGCGCACGUAGGCGGACUGGAAAGUCAGAGGUGAAAUCCCAGGGCUCAACCUUGGAACUGCCUUUGAAACUCCCGGUCUUGAGGUCGAGAGAGGUGAGUGGAAUUCCGAGUGUAGAGGUGAAAUUCGUAGAUAUUCGGAGGAACACCAGUGGCGAAGGCGGCUCACUGGCUCGAUACUGACGCUGAGGUGCGAAAGCGUGGGGAGCAAACAGG